GAUCUGCAAAUAAAUAUUAGAUAAAUUCAAAUUUAUCCAACACAUAUAAAAAAAAAAGAGAAAAGAAAGCAGAUUAUAAAAUUCUCUCAUUCCCCACGUUGGAGAAAAAACGUUCCCCUCUCUCCCUAAAAUCUCUCCCACAUCUUUAACCACCUCUCUCCCUAAUUUAAUCACCAAAUUAGUUCAUUCUUCUUCAUAUUCACUCUCUGCAAUCAAGAAACCAGACGUCCUCUUUCAACUUCUAUUCAAGAAAUUGAGAACUAAGGAGAGGGAGUUCCUGUUCCGUCCAGUUGCAAAUCUGCAAAUUUAAGGUGAGAUUUCGCAAGGGAAUCGAGAUACCAAAGGGAAGGAAGUGUAGAGAAUUAAUCAAUUGAGGUUGAGCGUGACGGGUGCGGUGGGUGUUGAGCAAGACCGUUGAAGAAAUUUAAGUGUGUAGAAUGUGUCAUGUCUUCAUACGUGGCAUAUUCAUUCUCUCAAAUGUUUCCGCUAAGUAGGUGUUCUUCUUUUGAGUUCUUGUAUCGUUGGGAUAGUAUUCAUUCUUGAGUUGUUGAUUGUUGAGAUACUCUGAUUUUUAUUCGAGCUAUUCCCAUUUGUUUCGAGCUAUGGUCGAGUUGCGUUGU